rnacentral:rRNA from 1 species
GACGAACGCUGGCGGCGUGCUUAACACAUGCAAGUCGAACGGAAAGGCCCCUUUGGGGGUACUCGAGUGGCGAACGGGUGAGUAACACGUGAGUAACCUGCCCUUGACUUCGGGAUAACUUCAGGAAACUGGGGCUAAUACCGGAUAGGAAUCCUUGCUGCAUGGUGGGGGUUGGAAAGCUUCGGCGGUUUUGAAUGGACUCGCGGCUUAUCAGCUUGUUGGUGGGGUAGUGGCUUACCAAGGCUUUGACGGGUAGCCGGCCUGAGAGGGCGACCGGCCACAUUGGGACUGAGAUACGGCCCAGACUCCUACGGGAGGCAGCAGUGGGGAAUAUUGCACAAUGGGCGGAAGCCUGAUGCAGCAACGCCGCGUGCGGGAUGACGGCCUUCGGGUUGUAAACCGCUUUCAGCAGGGGCGAAGCUUGUGGUGACGGUACCUGCAGAAGAAGCACCGGCUAACUACGUG